AUGGCCGACGCGGAUCAAAGUGUAGUAUCUGUUCUUAUCAGCUUAAUAUCUGAUACGGGUUGUAUUUAGGCCUAAGAUAUUAAACUUAGUUUUGGAAGUUGGCAGAGUGCUUGAAACCUGCUUCACCUACGCCGCGGGUCACUCUGGUAUUGCAUUAUCUUUGGGUGUUUUGGUCUACAGACA